UUUCAUGCUAUCCUUAGAGAUUCCACAGUCUCUCGUGUGCCUCAUAAUCAGCAGGGCUUGCUAUUUCGAACAAGUCUCAUUUCAGAAAGGGCCUUGUUGAGAUGAAGUUUUAGAGAUGCUGAAGAUGGAAUUAGACGCAUGUGAAAGGUUAAGCAUAACGAGUAAUGCAAAUGGGAGAUAAACUCUGGUACAUGGUGUUUCAAUCGAAAUCUCUAAGAGGUGUAACACUGUACCAAGUGGAGAACCGUUACAUGGACCAAUUAUUGUGGUCUUGGUUUGUGUGUGUCUCUUGGUUGUUGCUUGAAUUAAUAGAUGCUGAAUGCACUACACGGGGCGGGUUGUUACAUUUUUAUUCAAGCCGUCCUCCUUGUAGUUCAUUGCAUGUACUCUUCACGUAUGGGCUUCUUCACAGUUUGCACCCCCCCCCUCGUAUCUGGAUCUAGAGGCUAGUAGAUAACAAUCACGAGGACACAACAUAUUUGACUUCUCAGCAUAUUCUACUACGGGCAUAUCACAAUCAUCUGUUUUUUCAAGUAAGCUAGCCCGCUGUAGCCGUUCCAUCUGGUGUUCUUUAAUCCAUUGACUGGCAACACUCAACGGCAUGAGUGUAACUGUAAGUUACCUAUCUACUUAUAUUCUUUCUUGUUUCACAAUUCAUGGUUUGUUCUAUUAUGUUGCUACCUUUGGACCAAACCAGAGAACCACUAUGUAGCUAAUAAGUUUCCACCUAUGAAGCUUGAGUUUGUGUAUGGGGUAACAGGCAAGCUUUGAAACUUGAAAGUCUCAAUCUUUUUAGUUUGAUUAAGUAAUAAGUAAGCAGUUUUCGGUUACUCAUUUUGGUUAGCUGAUUAGUCCCACGUUUGAUAUUUUAAAAUCUAGUUAAAGAAGAUUGUCAUCUUCGAUGG